AGCGAACGCUGGCGGCAGGCUUAACACAUGCAAGUCGAGCGGGCGUAGCAAUACGUCAGCGGCAGACGGGUGAGUAACGCGUGGGAACGUACCUUUUGGUUCGGAACAACACAGGGAAACUUGUGCUAAUACCGGAUAAGCCCUUACGGGGAAAGAUUUAUCGCCGAAAGAUCGGCCCGCGUCUGAUUAGCUAGUUGGUAGGGUAAUGGCCUACCAAGGCGACGAUCAGUAGCUGGUCUGAGAGGAUGAUCAGCCACAUUGGGACUGAGACACGGCCCAAACUCCUACGGGAGGCAGCAGUGGGGAAUAUUGACAAUGGGGGCAACCCUGAUCCAGCCAUGCCGCGUGGGUGAUGAAGGCCCUAGGGUUGUAAAGCUCUUUUGUGCGGGAAGAUAAUGACGGUACCGCAAGAAUAAGCCCCGGCUAACUUCGUGCCAGCCGCCGCGGUAA
rnacentral:rRNA from 1 species